rnacentral:rRNA from 1 species
AGAGUUUGAUCCUGGCUCAGAACGAACGCUGGCGGCGUGCUUAACACAUGCAAGUCGAGUGCGCGGUUGUAGCAAUACAACUGGCGCACGGCGCACGGGUGCGUAACACGUGGGCAAUCUGCCCUUCGAUGGGGAAUAACUCCGGGAAACCGAAGCUAAUUCCGCAUAACAUUCCUUGGACUUCGGUUCGAGGACUCAAAGCCGUAAGGCGUCGAAGGAGGAGCCCGCGCCCGAUUAGCUAGUUGGUGAGGUAACGGCUCACCAAGGCAAUGAUCGGUAGCUGGUCUGAGAGGAUGGCCAGCCACACUGGAACUGAGACACGGUCCAGACUCUUACGGGAGGCAGCAGUGGGGAAUCUUGCGCAAUGGGCGAAAGCCUGACGCAGCGACGCCGCGUGGGGGAUGAAGCAUUUCGGUGUGUAAACCCCUUUCGACUGGGACGAAUACCUCGCAAGAGGGGUGACGGUACCAGUAGAAGAAGCCCCGGCUAACUACGUGCCAGCAGCCGCGGUAAGACGUAGGGGGCCAGCGUUGUUCGGAAUUACUGGGUGUAAAGGGUUCGUAGGCGGUGUGGCAAGUCGGGAGUGAAAUCUAUGGGCUUAACCCAUAGGCUGCUUCCGAAACUGCCGUGCUUUGAGUGUGGGAGAGGCGCGUGGAAUUGCAGGUGUAGCGGUGAAAUGCGUAGAUAUCUGCAGGAACACCCGUGGCGAAAGCGGCGCGCUGGACCACUACUGACGCUGAGGAACGAAAGCUAGGGGAGCAAACAGGAUUAGAUACCCUAGUAGUCC